CCCACUCACUUAGUGAAGUGGAUUUAACAUUCCUCCACUUCUUUUCAUACCUCGGUCCCCAAGUCUCUACUUUUACUGCUAAAGACAUCUCACCAAGAUCACCACCGCAUUCUACAGUGGCACGGCGGAACUUUGGAUCCUAUGCCUCACAAGGAACCUAACUGUAACUUAGAACCCAUUGAUCCAGCUUUUCUCACCCCUCCCUCCUCCUUUACUGUUUCCUUGGCUCUGGUAACCACCAUUCUACCCUCAUGAGAUAAACAUUGUCAGGAUCCACGUAGGAAUGAUCUAUACAAUUGAUAGAGGAUUGGUGUCUUGCUCACUUGUUCUUCCCUCACCAGAGAUGAGGAUUGCAGUAGAUGGAAUCUGACACAGAGACUCACAACUGAACAAUGUUCAGAGAGUGAAAGAAUUUGGAGCACUCAGUCCUAAAUGGGAUGCUGGCUUUCUCAAACCUCUUUCCUCAAGGCCCAUGAUCGUGUGCAGAGAAACAGGCAGAAAGAUUAUAAGAGCAAGAGGUGCUGAUGACUUCAAAAAGCAGCAUCUUCCAGACAGGAUAGGAAUGAAACACUCACGAAUCCACAGAGACUGACAGCAUGCAAGAGACCUGCAAAGGUUUAAGCUAGACAAGAUACCAUCCCUGAGGAAGGGAAGUGGAUACUCUUAAUCAAGAAGCUAUUUGUAAUUGAAUCCUACUGCGAAAAGGAAGGUGACACACAAAUUACCGGAGAUCCAGUACCUCAUGAAGGUCAUUUGACCCCCAAUGACAGAACAUGGAUUUGGCAUUAACGUCUGUGUUUCCAGUAAAAUGAUCAGAACACUAAGAGAUAUUUUUCCCUUUACAAAUUUGGAAUUGUGAAGCCAAAAAAUUUACUGUUUUGUAAGAACUUGAGAACUUAUUAUAUUUUAAGAUAUUAUGUUGAAAAUCAAUGUCAUUGAUUUGUCCCUUAAGAAAAUAAUAAUCUAUCUAGACAAGGAAGUAUUGUGUCUUAUGAAGCAAUAUAUAUAUGUGUGUGUGUGUGUGUGUAUUCAUCAAGCAUAUAACUAUAUCAAAUAUCAUUUUUUAUGAAAAUACAAAAGAUGGUGUCAACAUGUAGGAAGAGACAAAUGCAUUACAAUGUUGAGAUAUAUCUACACAAGUAGUUCUGUAUGUUUUCUUUUUCUUGUUUGUGUUUUUCAAAUUUAAUAACUUAUCCUCCAAAUUACUAUGAAGUUAUACAUGUAAUAUGUAAGCAUCCAUGAGAAACAUAAUGUGUAACAAUAUUAAAAUAAGAAAUAACG